rnacentral:rRNA from 1 species
CUUGGAUAACCACAGCGCCACGCGUCCUCGGGCAGAGCCUCUAUAUAUUCCACCCACGGGCGCGAUGCUCCUCCUCCAUCACCAGCAGCUAGAUCAUUCGUCCACCAUAGCCGGUAACAGAGCUCGGUCGGCAGGCACAGAUUCAGCUAGGAGGAGAGCAGGAGCUAGGUAGCCAUGGCCGUCCUGCGCGCCCUCACCCGCGCCCUGGAGGACCUGGCCCACGCCCUGGUCGCCGUCGUCCGCGCCCUCGCCGACCUGGCCAGCCGCAUGACCCACGCAAGUGCCCGCGCCUUGCCCAACGCCAUAAGCCGUGCCAUCGGCGCCUGAUUUGUAUACCCUCCGGCGGUACCUCUGCACCGGAUCGUCGCUCCUCUUCGUUAGAGGUACUCCGGCGGAUUCCACGGCUGCCGCCUCCCAAGUCGCCCCGCAUCCCCCAUCCUUCCCCUGCGACGCGGAUCCACUGGAUGCCAGCUCGCCGGCUCCACGAUGUUGUCCGCACAGGCGAGGUCACGUGGCGGCGCACCGGAGAGCCGGCCAUGGGAGCCACGCGGCGGCUAGUGGCUGCUGCCUCUCUGGCCAUGGGAGCCGCAGACUCGCGGGAAUCCGAGCCCGCUGAUCUUCGGAAGCCGUGCAGCGGCGCAUCUUCCGCAAGUCUCCGGCCACGUCGACAAGCGGGUGAAAUUGGACGGGACGGACGAUGCCUCUAGCCGUGGGAUCACAUCGGUGCUCGAUUCGUAUGUAUAGC